rnacentral:tRNA from 1 species
UGCAGUGUAAUGUAAUGGGUAAGGAACUGGUCUUGUAACCCAAAGGUCACAGGAUCGAUUCCCAACACUGCCG